rnacentral:rRNA from 1 species
UACCUCAGUAACGGCGAGUGAAGCGGUAACAGCUCAAAUUUGAAAGCUAGCUCUUUUAGGGUUCGCAUUGUAAUUUGUAGAAGAUGCUUCGGGUGUGGCCCCGGUCUAAGUUCCUUGGAACAGGACGUCAUAGAGGGUGAGAAUCCCGUAUGUGACUGGGUGCUUUCGCUCAUGUGAAGCUCUUUCGACGAGUCGAGUUGUUUGGGAAUGCAGCUCAAAAUGGGUGGUAAAUUUCAUCUAAAGCUAAAUAUUGGCCAGAGACCGAUAGCGCACAAGUAGAGUGAUCGAAAGAUGAAAAGCACUUUGGAAAGAGAGUUAAACAGUACGUGAAAUUGUUGAAAGGGAAGCGCUUGCAACCAGACUUGCGCGCUGAUGAUCAUCCGGGCUUCUGUCCGGUGCACUCGUCUGCGCUCAGGCCAGCAUCGGUUUCGGUGGUGGGAUAAAGGCCUUGGGAAUGUAGCUCCUCUCGGGGAGUGUUAUAGCCCUCGGUGCAAUGCCGCCUACCGGGACCGAGGACCGCGCUUCGGCUAGGAUGCUGGCGUAAUGGUUGUAAGCGACCCGUCUUGAAACACGGACCAAGGAGUCUAACAUCUAUGCGAGUGUUUGGGUGUCAAACCCAUACGCGUAAUGAAAGUGAACGGAGGUGAGAACCCUUAAGGGUGCAUCAUCGACCGGUCCUGAUGUCUUCGGAUGGAUCUGAGUAAGAGCAUAGCUGUUGGGACCCGAAAGAUGGUGAACUAUGCGUGAAUAGGGUGAAGCCAGAGGAAACUCUGGUGGAGGCUCGCAGCGGUUCUGACGUGCAAAUCGAUCGUCAAA